GGAAGGACUUGAGCUAGAGGCACCAUGGUGAAUAGGUCCAGGAGUCAGAAAAAAGGAGAAGAAGGGCCCUAAGAGGAGGGCUAUCAAUGAAGAGGUGGCCUUGGAAGACAUUGAUGACGGAAUAGAUGCCUUUCACAAACAAAGGGAUGUUGUCCCGCUGAACAUUCAUAGUAUGCUGGGGAGUCAGACGAGACAAUGAAGAGCCUGUCUUUGAUUUUAAGGAUGAAGACAACAAAGACAAGGAUGAAGAUGAUGACACUCAAUUGACUGGGCUUGCUGCAAAAAUUGCAAGACAGCAAAAGUUUUUGCGGGCAAAAAUUAGUGGGGUGGAAGAUGAGAUGCACAAUGAGGAGGAAGAAGAUGAAGACAAGAAGGCUGUUUGG